GUCCCGGAAUUUUGUAUGUUUACCUUGGUUCUUUCUUUUAUGUGCAGAAACGAGCCUCAUUUUGAUUGUCGACAACAUGUGCUUCCGAGCACACUGUUUUUUGCCUUUUAUUAACCUUUACAUUUGACAAUCUUGUCUUAGACCACAGCGUAAGUGUUUUUCUAUUAUUAUGUAAAAAUAGAAUUCAUUAUUUGUCCAUGUCAGGAUGUUUUUGUGGUAUACUAGCGAAAUUUAUGUAUGUGUAAACAUGUCUGUUUAAGAGAAAAUUCGGAUUAGGUUUUUUCAUCAGUGUAAUCUAUUUGUAUUGGUAUAAUUGAUAACUAUGAAUCUACUCUGCAUUAUUAUACUUAUACCUGAAAUGUUCGUCUUUGGUCUAGUCAUACAUAAAUCUAGUCAACUGUUUAUUAUUUUACUAUCUAUGGUGUAAGUCGUGUAGUGCAUAUGUACUUAAGAAGCUCAGAUUUGGCUCGUGUUAUUAGAUAGAUUUACCAGUGUCAGAUAAAAUUAUUUGUACUUUAAGUUUAUUACAUUAUCCAUUUGAUUGAUAUCUUGAUACGAGUUAUUCAUAUUAUACACAUAAUAUCCUAAGUAUGGUCACCAGUUUCUGUCACUGUUAGUGUAUGAUGUAAUCUGUGUCAUAUCAUUCAGAUUGUAAUUCUUGUUUUUGUUCUUUUACAGUUCUUUUACCAUAUUUCAAUAAAUGCCUUUCAAGCCUCAGAGGUGUUUGUUGAGGUUAAUUACAACAGUAGCUCUCCGGAGCAAGAGACUGUCACAGUAAAAGAAGCUUACUACAAGACACGAUGUCAAAUACAGGGAAGUUGAGAGAUGUGCGGGACCUCUCAGAAAAAGGACAUGAGAUGUAUGAAACCUCCGUGGAACAUUUCAGCUCCAGGAUAGAAGAGGCAUGGAAAUUCGUGGAAAUUUCGUUGCAGUCAGCUGAUGACAACCAACUAACAAAGUCAAACUUACAAUCACUUUGUGUUCUAGAAGAGAGCAUCAACAAAAACUUUACGAAAUACAGCAUGAUAAAAGAGGACUUCCGGCAGUUUCUCCUCAGAGCAAAAACCAGUGAAAGUGAACAAUUAUUAAAGUCUCUUGAAUUGAAACAUUAUGAAUAUUCUGCUUCAGUGGAGAAAGUUCUCAAAACAAUAAGUGAACAGAAACAGAAUGCUAUAGAAACUAUGACUUCAGUAUCAAACUCUCAGUCACGUGCUUCCAACAAAUCUCACUUUAGUUCUCUUGUGACACUGAAACGCGCAAAAGCCCAAGCAGCGAGAAUAAGCAUUCAGUAUGCUGAACAGGAGAUCAAAUUGCGUAAAAUGAAAGCAGAAAUCGAAGAACGAGAGAAGCUUAUGGCAGCGAAGGAGAAAGCAAAUAUGGAGAGGGCAAAGGCAGAGUUCGAAGCAGAAAUGCACCUCCUGUCUAUAAAGAAAGAGGCAGCAGCUGCUGAAGCAGAACUACGCGUGUUUCAAGAGGAGGAUCAGGGAUCUCUGUUUGCGGACUUACCUGGAACUGAAGGAGGUGAUGAACUUUUAAGUGACCGUCAGUUUUCAGACACACGCCGAGUUUUGGACUUUAGUGCAGAACAGAACAACCUAAGCCACAUUGACAUUCAGACCAACCCACUAUCUCAUCAGGCGAAUGGUUUGUCUGAAGUUAAGCUACCUCAAACGGAAAGUUCCCCACUGCAAGACCCGUCAUCUUCGGGAGCCCUAGACCCCCUCGUGCCAGAGUUCAAACCACAGGCCAACCACCGGUCAGGAACUAUGAACAGUCAGUUUUCUGAGUUCUCAAAGUUUUUACUGAAAAAGGAACUACUGAUGUCUCGCCUCAAGAAUUAUAAUGACAAACCGGAAUCAUUUGCGGCCUGGAAGGCUACAUUCCAAAGCGUGAUGAGAGAAUUAGACGUUUCUACUGAGGAGGAAGUGGAUCUGUUGAUCAAGUAUUUGGGUCCCGAGUCUUCUAAGCAUGCCAACAGCAUCAAGACAGCGAAUUUCAGUAACCCAGCAAAGGGACUUUCAAGGAUCUGGGAGCGUCUAAAUGACAGAUACGGGUCUCCAGAGAUGGUGGAGUUCGCCCUUAAACAGAAACUUGCUAAUGUGCCAAAAUUAACCAACAAGGACAAUAAAAAACUGUUUGAACUAAGUGAUUUUCUCUCAGAGAUAGAAGCAGUCAAGGACAAUAUUGAAUAUUCCGCUCUACUUGCGUACUUCGAUACGUCAUCAGGAGUCGUGCCAAUUGUAAACAAACUGCCGCACGCCAUCCAAGAAAAAUGGACGACUCAUGCCGUAAACUUUAAGAGAAAACACAAUGUAUCAUUCCCACCAUUCUCAGUGUUUGUGGAGUUCAUUAGAGACAUUAGUCGGGUGAAGAAUGAUCCAGGAUUCCAGUAUGAAACCAACACCUACAUGACAGCUGAGAAAGUGAUUCAUCGAGGCAAGAACAUUAAUAUAGCCACAAAGAAAACAGUGAGCGAGGUGGACAAGGAUGCUGUUGAGUGCCCUAUUCAUCAUACUAGGCAUUCACUAAAUCAGUGUCGAGCUUUCAGAGGGAAGUCGUUAGAGGAGAGAAGAAAGUUUGUGAAAGACAAUAACAUUUGUUUUAGAUGUUGUGAGACCACAAAUCACAACAGGAGAUCAUGUAGGAGAGACAUUAAGUGUACAGAGUGUGACAGUACAACGCACACUACCGCCUUACAUCCGCCAACACUACAGAAGUCCUUGACCCCUUCCUUAGCCUACGGCGGGGAGGUCAACCCUCAACCUAACAUUGAUUCCAAAUGCACUCAAGUUUGUGGGGAUGCACGCCACUAUGGAAAGUCAUGUUCCAAAACUGUUUUGGUCCGUGUCUAUCGAGAUGGUCACCCUGAGAAGACGGUAACCUUGUAUGCUGUCAUAGAUGACCAAAGCAAUAGAUCCCUUGCAAAAUCUGAUCUACUGGACUAUCUUGGAAUUCAUGGUCAGUCAGCAGAGUAUAUCCUGACAUCAUGUGCUGGAUCAAUACCUUCGCAAGGACGACGUGCAAAUGGUUUAGUAGUUGAAUCCAUGGAUGGGAGCGCUAGACUUGAGCUUCCGACAGUUAUUGAGUGUGAUGGCAUACCGAAUGUGAGAGCCGAGAUUCCAACUCCGGAAGUAGCCUUGUCUUAUCCUCACCUACUGGACAUAGCACAACACAUACCCGCUCUUGAUGACGAAGCCAGCAUCUCACUUCUGAUUGGUCGAGAUCUGUUGGAGGCCCACCACAUCCUCGAGCAACGCCUGGGAUACACGGGAUCACCAUAUGCUCAACGGCUCUGCCUAGGUUGGGUAAUUGUAGGAGAGAGCUGCCUGAACAAGACUCACAUACCAGACGUGGUAAACGUAAACAAAAUCCAUACACUCAGCAAUGGAAGACCAUCAAUUUUUACACCUUGUACUAAUGUCUUUGACAUUAAGGAAACUCUUAAAGACAUUGGAUCAUUUUCAACCAUACCUGGCAAUGUUCGGCAGCUGAGUAGUGAUUGUGACAUUUUUUUAAAGACCAAAAAUGAUGACAAAACUGCAUUAUCGGUAGAAGAUACACAAUUUCUAAACCUCAUGGACAACGAAAUGGUAAAGGACUGCGAGGGAAGCUGGACAGCCCCUCUUCCUUUUAAAAAACAGAGGCCCCUACUUCCAAACAAUUUAUCCCAAGCACUGAGUCGGGCCAAGAUGUUAACAAAUAACCUUCAGAAGAACUCUACCAAGAAAAAGCAUUUUCUGGAGUUCAUGAGUAAAGUACUGAGUGAAGGACAUGCUGAACCUGCUCCAACUCUAACAAAGAACCAGGAGUGUUGGUAUCUUCCCCUAUUUGGGGUGUACCACCCGAAGAAACCUGAACAGAUCAGGGGUGUAUUCGACUCGUCUGCGAAAUUUGAAAACAUCUCCCUUAAUGACGUCUUAAUGUCAGGACCUGACCUUACCAAUAAUCUACUUGGGGUGCUCCUUCGCUUCCGACAGCAACCUGUCGCAGUCAUGGCUGAUAUCCAGAGGAUGUUUUACUGUUUUAAAGUCAAGCAGGAGCACAGAGAUUACCUCAGAUUCUUAUGGCAUAAAGACAAUGACAUUGAAAAAGAGAUUAUUGAGUUCAGAAUGUGUGUUCAUGUGUUCGGAAAUAGUCCGAGUCCUGCAGUAGCGACAUAUGGUUUGAGAAGAACAGCUGAAAUUGCAGAAAAGCAGUAUGGCUCUGAUGUUCGUAAGUUUGUUGAAAGGAACUUUUAUGUCGACGAUGCCUUGACUUCACUUCCUUCCUCAAAGGAAGCUGUUAGUCUCCUGAAGCGAGCACAGGAAGCGCUACAAGCAGAAGGCAACUUACGACUGCACAAGAUCUGCUCUAAUUCUAGUGAAGUACUGUUAGCGUUUGACAAGGAGGAUUUAGCCAAGGAUCUCAGGGAACUUGACUUUAAUUGUGACGAUCUUCCGUUGCAACGGAGCUUAGGAGUUUGUUGGAAUAUCAACGUCGACAGUUUCACAUUUCAUGUCAGUGUAGACGAGAAACCGUGUACCAGAAGGGGAGUGCUCUCAGUUAUAAAUGGACUGUACGACCCCCUUGGAUUCGCAAUGCCAGUGACAAUUGGUGGGAAGCUAAUGUUGCGAGAGGCCAUGGUAGAGCCAGUGGAGUGGGAUCAACCACUACCUAAUGACUUCCAGACGAAGUUUGAUUCUUGGAAGGAUUCUCUGUCUGCCUUGGGCAGUGUGAACAUUCCGCGUACCUAUGACUCUCUCAUCUCAGCUGUAGAACGCCCCAGAGAUUUAUUUGUGUUUACCGAUGCUUCAGAGAAAGCCAUCGCUGCGGUAGCCUAUCUCAGGACCUUUGAUGAGAACAACAGAUCUAAAUUAGGAUUUGUAAUGGGGAAGGCUAAAGUGGCUCCUAAACACGGCCAUACCAUUCCAAGAUUGGAGCUGUGUGCUGCAGUCAUGGGCGUUGAAAUCUAUGAAAACAUUCUUCAGGAGCUUGACUUUAAGUUGAAUCGUGUGACUUUUUUCACAGAUAGUAAAGUAGUACUCGGCUACAUUAACAAUGAAACAAAGAGAUUCUAUGUGUAUGUCAGGAAUCGUAUCGAUAAAAUUAGACAUCUCACAAGCCCUGAUCAAUGGAACUACAUACCCACAAAUCUUAACCCAGCUGAUGACGCUACUCGCUCUAUACCUGCAGCGAGCUUACAAACUAGCCUGUGGUUAAAUGGACCUCCAGAAAACUUCAUAGAGCAAACACAUGAAGACACCUCAUUUCCCCUUGUGUCACCAGACAAGGAGGUUAGAUCAAUGAAAACAGCUGCCAGUGCAGAUAUGGGACUUGGUAGUUACCAUUUUGAAAGGUUCUCCACUUGGAAAAGUCUGAAGAGAGCAGUGCGCACUCUCAAGGAUUUGGCAAGAUCCAAAACUACAGACAGUGAUCAUAUUCGCGUUUCAGAUAAGGAAUCUGAAAUUUGCAUUAUCAAGACUCUUCAAGAGGAAGCUUUUCCUUCGGAAAUGUCAGCACUAAAAUCAGAAUUACCACUUCCAAAGCAGAGCAACAUACUUACCUUGUCUCCUUACCUGGAUGAACUUGGACUGCUCCGGGUCGGAGGUCGCCUUAGAAAUGCCAAGCUGGAUUCGGUGCAAAUAAAUCCAGUUAUCAUUCCAAAGCACCAUGUGUCUACACUCAUUAUACGCUACUAUCAUGAGAAAGUCUUCCACCAAGGCCGCCAGAUCACAGAGGGCUCUAUUCGAAAUGCAGGCUUUUGGCUGAUUGGUGCAAAACGACUGAUUACAUCAUGCAUACAUCACUGUGUCAAGUGUCGAAGGCUACGCGGUCGUCAAGAAGAACAGAGGAUGGCAGACUUACCUGCUGAAAGACUUGAGGUUGCACCGCCAUUCACUUACAUUGGGAUUGAUGUUUUCGGACCCUGGAAAAUAUCAACUAGGAAAACACGUGGUGGAGAGAUAAACUCAAAGAGGUGGGCGCUGAUGAUCACUUGUCUUGUCAUACGGGCUGUCCACAUAGAAAUUCUAGAAGAAAUGACUUCUUCGUGCUUCAUAAACGCACUGAGACGUUUUUGCGCUAUCAGGGGUGAGGUAAAGCUGAUUAGGUCAGAUUGCGGAACCAACUUCGUUGGAUCUGUCAAGGAUUUGAACGCAAACAUUAUUAAUACUGAGGACCGACCAAUCAAGGAAUACCUUGUAGAGAAUGGGAUCAACUGGAUAUUCAAUCCUCCCCACUCCUCCCACAUGGGUGGAGUGUGGGAGAGGAUGAUCGGUAUAGCACGUCGAAUUCUGGAUUCGCUUCUCCUUGAUGUUAAGAACUUAACCCAUGAAGUACUUACCACACUCAUGGCGGAAGUUAUGUCAGUCAUGAACUCACGACCCAUAGUUCCAGUGUCAUCUGAUCCAGAGCAUCCAAUUCCACUGACACCAGCAGCUCUACUAACAAUGAAAACCGAACAGACUAUCCAAUGCUUUCAGUUAGACAGCCUUUGUCGGAAGGAUCUGUACAAAGAACAGUGGAAGUGUGUCCAGUACUUAGCUGACCAGUUCUGGGUGCGUUGGAAAAACGAGUACCUUCCGACCCUUCAGCAUCGCAGAAAGUGGCAACAGGACAGUGAAAACCUAAAGGAAGAUGAUGUGGUACUCCUGCGAGAUAAAACUUUACACAGGAACGAUUGGCCACUCGGAAUCAUUGUGAAAACUUAUGCGAGUGAUGAUAGCAAAAUCCGUAAAGUAGAAGUUCGCACAGGAAAAGACAGAAAGGUGUUCACUAGAUCUGUAAAUGAUGUUGUGCUCCUUGUGUCCGAGUAGUUACCAUGUGAUUUUGUACAUGCAUUGUUUGAGUUGAAACUGAUAUCAUUGUGAUUUGUUGUUUUAGAAAAGUCUGAUGUAACUUAGUAUUAAGUGUAGAUUCUAUUUGAUGUCCAUUUAGUUAAAGGUGAUAUCUUCCUGAUAUCAGACGGGGAGUGUUCCGUCCCGGAAUUUUGUAUGUUUACCUUGGUUCUUUCUUUUAUGUGCAGAAACGAGCCUCAUUUUGAUUGUCGACAACAUGUGCUUCCGAGCACACUGUUUUUUGCCUUUUAUUAACCUUUACAUUUGACAAUCUUGUCUUAGACCACAGCUUCUUUUACCAUAUUUCAAUAAAUGCCUUUCAAGCCUCAGAGGUGUUUGUUGAGGUUAAUUACAACAGUAGCUCUCCGGAGCAAGAG